GACGUCGACAGAGUAAUGGCGGCGAAUUCAAACAAUCAAAAUAAUCCAAAGAAUAGAAAUCGAGAAAAUAAAGUUGGGAAUGGAUCAGAGACUCUAAGAGUAGAGAAUAGUGGUGAAGAGGAGGAAGAGGAUGAUAUGGAUAUAGGAUGGACACAAAUAGAAGGACGAUACGGGAAAAAAGCAUCUAGGAAAAGGAAAAAAGGACCUGAGCUGUAGAUGGAGGAGCUGAACACGCAGCAACAUCGAAGGCUCGGGUUUUGAAGAGUCAAGAGUAGGUGGCGGUAAUGCUCUGAUAAGAAUGCGAACCGCCAAUAAACACCAGGAAGAAGAAGAAGAAGAAGAGCACACGAGAGAACAAUGUAGUCGGAGUGAAGCCACGGGCAGAGAAGUUGUGUGUUGCUAAUCAGCGUUGUUUGGUGGAUUUGUGCGUGUUUUAAACCGUGAGUACAUAAAUGUUCACGUGCUGUAUGUUUACUGAAACUUAAGGAGUAUGUUAGAAGAGAUUUUAUGCUGUUUAUCAGCAUUAAUUCGAUGUUCUGUGAUCGCCGUGAUUUGAGAUGAUGCAGCAAUAAUUAGCUGACGCUAAUUUGAUACUCACGUCGUUAUUGAAGUUAAUAAGUGACCAGCUGUGUGUAUAUCGUUCGAUUUCAACCUGUUUAUAUUAUGUUAGUCAGUAUGUAUGAUUAUUGCAGCCUUUGUCUAUAUUUUAUGCAACAUGUGACCCAGUUUGUGUCAAACACCCAGUUAGCAGCAAUUUGGACUUCAUAUUAUGCUGCUGUCAGUAUCUUAAUACAAUUAUCCAUUUGCGCCUAACUACUUACCCGUAUUAUAUUUUGAUCCAACUGUACUAUGUUUAAUGUUGUAUUACAAAUGUAACUUUGAUUUAAUAUUGUUUAUUGUUAUUCCUUUUUUGUAGAAACCACAUCUCUAUUCACCAUUGUGGAAUAAAGCAACAUAAUUUAAUUA
rnacentral:lncRNA from 1 species